rnacentral:tRNA from 3 species
GGGCGGUUAGCUCAGUUGGUUAGAGCACAUGCUUGACAUGCAUGAGGCCACUGGUUCGAGUCCAGUACCGCCCACCA